CUAAAAUUUCUGACACUUCUCCCCUUUCUGUAAACUAAGGAGCAAGUUGCCUGUAAAAGCUCGAUCCUUGAAGUUCCCUUUUGAAAAAAUACCAUGGUCAUUGUGACAGCCCCGAAGAAAGCAGGGAAGGAACACAUGCCUGAAUCAUACACUUCUCUUGUUUUCCUACUCCGUAUUGUUCCGUUUCAGAGACAGCUUUUUCUGCCUCCUUCCAGGUGACUGGUUCCUUAUUCUGUGGUGAAUACAUGGCCGAUGAAGUUCUUACCAGCAUACAAGGCAAGAAAGAAGAUGCAACUUUUCCUGCAGCCCAAAGAAGCCAGUCACUAGUAGCAACUUCAUCAGCCAAACAGUCGGAGGACGUGGAGUACUGUCCUGCAAAUUUCUUUGCAACAAUCACAUCACUGUUGAUCCCCUCAGUGUUUCCUCCUGCUUAAAAAGGAACAACGUGCAAGCAUAGAGCUUCAUAAACAACGUGCUGCUGAGAAUUUCAAGUUUUCUCUUGCUGUAAGUGUCCCCAUCACCACAUCACCCUUAGAAGAUAAACAUAAAUUUUACCCAGCUUUACUUCCCUUUUCAUAAUAAAAAAAUAUUGUUAAGUGUUACAUUGCAAUUGCAAACUGGCAUUUUAAUUUGUGGUGCCUUUCCAGGUCAGUCAUGUAACAAGUUCUUAUAGCUUAGACUAGGUAAUUUAAGGCUUUCUUUGUCAUGAAGAGUUCAAGAAAAGGCCACCCCUUUAUUCGACAUGGCAUUUAUUUCAUUGCUGCCAAGAAUCUUAGGUCAUAUGGGAAAGGGAGCUUCCUCCAGAUCAGGAAUUUCUGACAGGAAUUUGUAUCAGUUAUCCAUGUGUGAUAUAGAAACCAAUAUACAGGGGUUUUAUCACAGUAAAUUUCAUGUCAGACAUCUCAAUGCAGGUCCACAUGGAACGUCUGAGUUAAUUUUAAUUCAGAACGCGUCCUUUAGAAUAGAUUUUAAAUAGCAAAGGCAGUAUUUGCCUGUACCACAUAUCCAGAGAUGCAUUAAAAGCUGGCAGGCUCUGGAGCUCUUGUCUUUCAAAAUGUUGCCACACGGCCUGUGUGGAUCUUCCCCUGCAGCCAAAAUAUCCAGGCACCUAAGAAGAAACAAAAUCAUUCUGAAGAGAAUCUGGAAGAGUAAAUUAAAAGGAGUAAAGGUAAAGUAAAAUAGCAUGUUAAUCUAGUUAACAUAAAAUGCUUAACCCCACUCUCUUUAUUAAAUAUAUGAAGUAGAAUUCUCUCCAAAUUCGUAUUUGCUAAGCCAGUAAGUACAGCUGGCACCGCCACGCUGAGAAACCCAGUUUUCAUUUUGCUCAUCUGUUCUAACUAUGUACCAUCUGGCAAAAGUCUCCGACUUAACUUUAUAUCACAAGUAAUAUUUCUGCUCUACAAAUCAUGUCACUGAACAUCAAAACACCUAAUCUGAGCAAAGAAAGUACCAUAAAGAUUGAGCGUAUGUAUCUCAGAUUCUGGGUUUCAAUAGGAACAAGUUAGAAUGCUUUGAGUUCUUAAAUCUAUCCAUAGCAAAAUCUUGUAGUCAUAUGCUGCUUGCCGAGAUGUCUUCAUGCAGCAGCAAAUACAGUUGAUGUAGAACGAAUCGUUUGCUUGAACACUUACGAAGACUUGUCACUGCCAGCGUGUCCCAAGGUUGCAUUAAGGACUGCUCUCAAAAUCCCACUGCAAAACAAACACAAGAUUAUGUUAUUUAUAUAUUUAUUUUGUUAAUUUGAAAGUCUGUCCAUUUCGGUAUAUUGUAAAAUCAGAAUAUUUCAAGAACUAGUAAAAUGCCUGAGUAAUACAAAAUUGUAAUUUCAUUCAUAUUUGGUUCUAAUUUUUAGAGUAGAGAAUCUGUCUGGCUGUAUAGUUUUGUAAAUAAGGCCAGUGUUUCCUGAUAAUCUAAUAAGAACAAGAAAUUUUUAUUUUCAGAAACUUAAGUUAUUUUACCAAAAUAACAGCAAAUGAAGCAAAUGUGUAAAUUAACAGCAAAUAUUUGUAAUGGAAGAUGC